GACGGAGGUGCAAGUGUUAUCCGGAUUCACUGGGUUUAAAGGUGCGUAGGUGGUUGGUAAGUCAGUGGUGAAAUCUCCGUGCUUAACAUGGAAACUGCCAUUGAUACUACUGGUCUUGAAUUUUCCGGAGGUAAGCGGAAUAUGUCAUGUAGCGGUGAAAUGCUUAGAUAUGACAUAGAACACCAAUUGCGAAGGCAGCUUACUACAGGGACAUUGACACUGAGGCACGAAAGCGUGGGGAUCAAACAGG
rnacentral:rRNA from 1 species